rnacentral:rRNA from 1 species
UACGUAGGCAGCGAGCGUUGUUCGGAGUUACUGGGCGUAAAGGGUGUGUAGGCGGUUGUUUAAGUUUGGUGUGAAAUCUCCCGGCUCAACCGGGGAGGGUGCGCCGAAUACUGAAUGACUUCGAGUGCGGGAGAGGAGAGUGGAAUUCCUGGUGUAGCGGUGAAAUGCGUAGAUAUCAGGAGGAACACCGGUGGUGUAGACGGCUCUCUGGACCGUAACUGACGCUGAGACACGAAAAGCGUGGGUAGCAAACAGG